UACGAAGGGGGCUAGCGUUGUUCGGAAUUACUGGGCGUAAAGCGCACGUAGGCGGGUCGUUAAGUCCGGGGUGAAAUCCCAGAGCUCAACUCUGGAACUGCCUUUGAUACUGGCGACCUAGAGUUCGGAAGAGGUUAGUGGAAUUCCCAGUGUAGAGGUGAAAUUCGUAGAUAUUGGGAAGAACACCAGUGGCGAAGGCGGCUAACUGGUCCGAUACUGACGCUGAGGUGCGAAAGCGUGGGGAGCAAACAGG
rnacentral:rRNA from 1 species